UGGAACCAAUCAAUUCAUUCAUGGCUGGUCUCUCCUUACUACUACGCUGGCGAAGAAGGUACUGCAUCUUCUCCAAGGUUCUUUCUGCUCGACUAAUCCAUGCAUAGCUUUGUCCAACACUUUUGAGCUAGGAUACGGGCCUGCAGCUUCCAUUCGGCCGGCGAUCAAGGUGAUAAGGGCAGCCCCUACGAUAAGCCUUUCACUCGCCUGUUAUUUCUCUGAAUCCUACCCAUACCAUUCAUUUACUGUUUUCACCAGAGUAGGCUGAGCAGGACGCGUACUGGGAGGGAGGGACUACUGGCUUCUUGGCAAGGGAGCCAUCAUGUGAGCUGAUGAUGGUGAUCGCCGUCGUCCUCGCCGUCACCUCCUCUGCGUCCAUCUGCCCGGCGCUGGCUGCUGCACCGCCCAUGAUUGCGCCGGAUGGAGGAGAAAAGCCGGUGUUGGAGGCGCAGACAUGCCAUGGUAGGCUUCCUUUCUUACCCACAUCCCCAUGCCGCCCGUCGCCAUCAGGGCCUUUGACAAUCAUUCUCAUACGCCUCCUCCGGUGACACCGAAAACAUGGCCUUCAAUCUGCAGGUGUACACACACGCCUCGAAACCUACUACUGAGGGGGAGGGAUGGUGUCGGAGGGUAGCGUCUUGGCUGCAUUGCAGUUUGCAAACCGCCGUAUCGAUCAUUUGCUCAUGGCAAGCUAGCUAAGCUCGGCGGAAAAGGCGUGAAAUCAAUUCAAACGGGCACCAAGGACGGGCUCCAUUAGGGAGGGAGGACUGGAGAGCUGGAGGCGAAUCGAAAAAGCCUGCGGCGUACAGGCUCCAUUAGGGAGCGAGGACUGGAGCUGGAGGGAGGAGGAGCGAGAAAGCCUGCGGCGUACAGGCUGUCUUACAUGGGUAAGACACAUGGGGGCGUGGCCCGUAUCAUUUGAUGAUCCCUCCACCUCCCCUCGCUCUCUGAAUC
rnacentral:lncRNA from 1 species